ACGGCUCAGUAACACGUGGAUAACCUGCCCUAAGGUGGAGAAUAACCCCGGGAAACUGGGGAUAAUACUCCAUAGAUUAGAGAUACUGGAAUGUUCUCUAGUCGGAAGCUCCGGCGCCUUAGGAUGGAUCUGCGGUCGAUUAGGUUGUUGUUGGGGUAACGGCCCAACAAGCCUGUAAUCGAUACGGGUUGUGGGAGCAAGAGCCCGGAGAUGGAAUCUGAGACACGAUUCCAGGCCCUACGGGGCGCAGCAGGCGUGAAAACUUUACAAUGCAGGAAACUGUGAUAAGGGAACCCCGAGUGCCCGUAUACGCGGGCUGUCCAGGUGUUUAAAACGCAUCUGAAGAAAGGGCCGGGCAAGACCGGUGCCAGCCGCCGCGGUAAUACCGGCGGCUCGAGUGGUGGCCACUUUUAUUGGGCUUAAAGCGUCCGUAGCUGGACCGAUAAGUCUCUUGGGAAAUCCGCCGGCUUAACCGGCGGGCGUCUAAGAGAUACUGUUGGUCUAGGGACCGGGAGAGGUGAGAGGUACUCCGGGGGUAGGAGUGAAAUCCUGUAAUCCCUGGGGGACCACCUAUGGCGAAGGCAUCUCACCAGAACGGCUCCGACAGUGAGGGACGAAAGCUGGGGGAGCGAACCGGAUUAGAUACCCGGGUAGUCCCAGCCGUAAACGAUGCGCGUUAGGUGUACCGGUGACCACGAGUCACUGGGGUGCCGAAGGGAAACCGUGAAACGUGCCGCCUGGGAAGUACGGUCGCAAGGCUGAAACUUAAAGGAAUUGGCGGGGGAGCAC
rnacentral:rRNA from 1 species